UACGUAGGGUGCGAGCGUUGUCCGGAAUUAUUGGGCGUAAAGGGCUCGUAGGCGGUCUGUUGCGUCGGGAGUGAAAACUCAGGGCUUAACCCUGAGCCUGCUUCCGAUACGGGCAGACUAGAGGUAUGCAGGGGAGAACGGAAUUCCUGGUGUAGCGGUGAAAUGCGCAGAUAUCGGGAGGAACACCGGUGGCGAAGGCGGUUCUCUGGGCCUGACCUGACGCUGAGGAGCGAAAGCGUGGGGAGCGAACAGG
rnacentral:rRNA from 1 species